AGAGUUUGAUCAUGGCUCAGAUUGAACGCUGGCGGCGUGCUUUACACAUGCAAGUCGGACGGCAGCAUUGCUUUCGGGCAGAUGGCGAGUGGCGAACGGGUGAGUAAAACAUCGGAACAUGCCAUGUAGAAUGGGAUAACUCAUCGAAAGAUGAGCUAAUACCGUAUAAUCUCUGAGGAGGAAAGCUGGGGACUCGUAAGGGCCUGGCGCUAUAUGAUUGGCCGAUGGUCGAUUAGCUAGUUGGUGGGGUAAAUGCUUACCAAGGCGAUGAUCGAUAGCUGUUCUGAGAGGAAGAUCAGCCACACUGGGACUGAGACACGGCCCAGACUCCUACGGGAGGCAGCAGUGGGGAAUAUUGGACAAUGGGGGCAACCCUGAUCCAGCAACGCCGCGUGAAUGAAGAAGGCCUUCGGGUUGUAAAGUUCUUUUAUUAGGGGGCAGACUUGUGUUAAUGGCAUGAGGUGAUGAGAGUACCUGAUGAAUAAGCACCGGCUAACUACGUGCCAGCAGCCGCGGUAAUACGUAGGGUGCGAGCGUUAAUCGGAAUAACUGGGCGUAAAGGGUGCGUAGGCGGAUGUAUAAGUUAGAUGUGAAAAGCCUGAGCUUAACUUGGGUCGUGCAUUUAAGACUGUAUAUCUAGAGUUAGUAAGAGGGGGGUAGAAUUCCAAGUGUAGCAGUGAAAUGCGUAGAGAUUUGGAGGAAUACCGAUGGCGAAGGCAGCCCCCUGGGAUGAAACUGACGCUGAGGCACGAAAGCGUGGGUAGCAAACAGGAUUAGAUACCCUGGUAGUCCACGCCCUAAACGAUGUUUACUUGCUGUUGGGGGUAAAACCUAAGUAGCGAAGCUAACGCGAGAAGUAAACCGCCUGGGGAGUACGGUCGCAAGAUUAAAACUCAAAGGAAUUGACGG
rnacentral:rRNA from 1 species